AACGAACGCUGGCGGCAGGCUUAACACAUGCAAGUCGAGCGCCCCGCAAGGGGAGCGGCAGACGGGUGAGUAACGCGUGGGAAUCCCCAUCUCUACGGAAUAACGCAUGGAAACGUGUGCUAAUACCGUAUACGUCCUUCGGGAGAAAGAUUUAUCGGAGAUGGAUGAGCGCGCGUUGGCUUAGCUAGUUGGUGGGGUAACGGCCUACCAAGGCGACGAUCCAUAGCUGGCCUGAGAGGAUGAUCAGCCACACUGGGACAGAGACACGGCCCAGACUCCUACGAGAGGCAGCAGUGGGGAAUAUUGGAGAAUGGGGGCAGGCCUGAUCCAGCCAUGCCGCGUGAGUGAUGAAGGCCCUAGGGUUGUAAAGCUCUUUCGCCGGUGAAGAUAAUGACGGUAACCGGAGAAGAAGCCCCGGCUAACUUCGUGCCAGCCGCCGCCGUAACAC
rnacentral:rRNA from 1 species